UCGGACGUGGUGUAUGGAACACCGCGGGGCUCUCUUAUCCAGUUAAAUAUGCAUGCUCCCGCAGCCCGGGGUUCGACUCCCCGCGUCCGAA